GCCAUGCAUGUCUCAGUGCAGCCGUACGCGCUCGCGCGUCUAGGUGAAACCGCGAAAGGCUCAUUAAAUCAGUUAUGGUUCCUUGGAUCGUACCUCUAGUUACUUGGAUAACUGUGGUAAUUCUAGAGCUAAUACAUGCCGACAGAGUUCCAACCGCCUAAUCAGCGGGAGGAACGCUUUUAUUAGAUCAAAACCAUUCGACGGGGCGUUUCGGCGUCUCGUCGCAAACACACGAUUUUCGAAUCGUUCAAGUGGUGACUCUGAAUAACUUUGAGCUGAUCGCACGGUCUCAGUACUGGCGAUGCAUCUUUCAAAUGUCUGCCUUAUCAACUGUCGAUGGUAGGUUAUGCGCCUACCAUGGUGGUAACGGGUGACGGGGGAUCAGGGUUCGAUUCCGGAGAGGGAGCCUGAGAAACGGCUACCACAUCCAAGGAAGGCAGCAGGCACGCAAAUUACCCACUCCCAGCUCAGGGGAGGUAGUGACGAAAUAUAACGAUACGGGACUCAUCCGAGGCCUCGUAAUCGGAAUGAGUACACUUUAAAAUGUUUAGCGAGGAUCCAUUGGAGGGCA
rnacentral:rRNA from 1 species